UCGCCACAUUGUGACUUAUUGUCAUAAAAAAGUAAAAGUCAGGGAGUGUCGAGGAUUUUUAAAUAGCUGUAAGCUGACUCUGGGGGUGAACCUGGUCCCGGUGUCUCUGAGUUUCAGAGUUGGGUGAUACGGAAUCGGAAACCCUUGAGUAGUGUGGAAUCCGGAAAAUCGGGUCACACUCUGUAAAAUUGACAGUAUUAAGAAAGGAAAAUUGAUGGGUUCCUUUUCCGGUCAGUGUGUGAAACACUCUAAUCGGCGGUAGUGUUCAUUGCCAGACAUCGGUGGGGAUUUGUGAAGGCCAAGUGGUCAGUGGACAACAUUACCACCGAAGGACCUUACUAGUCCACGAAUUAGGACAACGACCAAAACGAACAUUUGUGUACUCUGUAUCUGAA